rnacentral:tRNA from 1 species
GCCUGGGUGGCUCAGUCGGUUGAGCGUCUGACUUCGGCUCAGGUCAUGAUCUCGCGGUUUGUGAGUUCGAGCCCCGCGUCGGGCU